UAUAUGGUCAAGCUACUAAGGGCGCAUGGGGGAUGUCUUGGCAUCAAGAGGCUUUGAAAGGCGUGGAAGACUGCGAAAAGCCCGGGUGAGUUGUCAAACGAGCGUUGACCCCGGGAUUCCUGAACUGACAUACACUAAAUACAUAGGUGUGUGUGGCAGACGCGGUGAACUGAAACAUCUAAGUAACCGCUGGAAAAGAAAGAAAAAUCGAUUUCGUCAGUAGCGGCGAGCGAACGCGAAACAGCCCAAACCGCGGGGGUUUCCUCUGCGGGGUUGUAGGGCCUUUCAUACGGGAGUUACAAAGCAAUCGGCUAGCAGAACGAUCUGGAAAGGUCGACCACAGAGGGUGACAGUCCCGUAAGCGAAAGCUGUAUUGCCUCCCGAAAGGUACCUGAGUAGGUCCGGUCACGUGGAACCCGGACUGAAUCUGCGGGGACCAUCCCGUAAGGCUAAACACUCUUGAAUGACCGAUAGUGAACUCAGUAGGGUGACUGAAAGAUGGGAAGAACCCCUUCUAGGGGAGGACACUGAACCUGAAACCAUGCGCCUACAAGCGGUCGGAGCACUAUGCCCCCUCGGGGGAAUGUGUGACGGCGUGCCUUUUGCAUAAUGAUCCGGCGAGUUACCGUCUGCGGCUUGGUUAAGGCCUUCCGGGCCGAAGCCUUAGGGAAACCGAGUGUGAAUAGCGCGAAUUUGGUCGUAGGUGGUAGACGCGAAACCUGGUGAUCUACCCAUGGACAGGUUGAAGCGCGAGUUAUAUCGCGUGGAGGACCGAACCCACUUAGGUUGAAAACUGAGGGGAUGAUCUGUGGGGAGGAGUGAAAGUCUAAUCAAACCAGGAGAUAGCUCGUUCUCUUCGAAAUAGCUUUAGGGCUAGCCUUGAGUCACUACGCAUCGGGGGUAGAGAUACUGAAUCGGUUUGGGGCCCUUCCCGGGGUACCCUGCUGAACCAAACUCCGAAUACCGAUGCGAUUAUCUCAGGAGUCAGUCCGCGGGGGAUAAGCUCCGCGGUCGAGAGGGAAACAACCCAGACCAUCUGCUAAGGUCCCGAAGUCGUUGCUUAGUCACUAAGGAAGUUGAAUUGCUGAGACAGCCAGGAUGUUGGCUUAGAAGCAGCCANCAUUUAAAAAGUGCGUAACAGCUUACUGGUCGAGCANUUNUGCGCCGAUAAUGAACGGGAGUUAAGNNNNACACCGAAGCAGUGGNNUNUGCAAGCNUUCGNGCGANCACAGUGGUAGNAGAGCGCNGUANGUCAGAUACNAGNCGNACCGAAAGGAGCGNUGNUGGGGCNUACNGGUGAUUAUGCCGGAAUGAGUAACGAUAAAGCAGGUGAGAAUCCUGCUCGCCGAAAGCCUAAGGUUUCCUGGGCAAGGUAAAUCCGCCCAGGGUUAGCCGGUUCCUAAGUCGAGGCCGAAAGGCGUAGACGAUGGAUAGCAGGUCAACAUUCCUGCGCCACGAAGUGGACUGAUGGAGUGACGGCGUUUGGANGGUGAGGGGCCGAUUAGAAAUGGCCCUCGCCUNAUCGCAAGGUGGUAGAUAGGUAAAUCCGCUACNUAAUCUGAGCGAUNGGGACAACGGCAUUUAUGUUCCGAUAGUCAUCUGAAGNACGUCCAAGAAAAACUUCUAGGGUUGAAGCUUCGUGACCGUACUAAAACUGACACAGGUAGGCNGGUCGAGUAGACCAAGGCGCUCGGGAGAACACUGGUUAAGGAACUCUGCAAAAUGGCCCCGUAAGUUCGCGAUAAGGGGUGCCCUCUNGGGUUUACGCUCUGGGGGGCCACAGUAAAUCGGCUUCUGCGACUGUUUAUCAAAAACACAGGACUCUGCUAACUCGUAAGAGGAUGUAUAGAGUCUGACGCCUGCCCGGUGCUGGUAGGUUAAGGAAGACAGUNAGNCCUUCGGGNNANAGCUGGCGACCGAAGCCCCAGUAAACGGCGGCCGUAACUAUGACGGUCCUAAGGUAGCGAAGUUCCUUGUCGGGUAAGUUCCGACCUGCAUGAAAGGCGUAACGACUGAUGCACUGUCUCAACCAGUGACCCGGUGAAAUUGUAGCCGUGGUGAAGAUGCCACGUACCCGCAGUAUGACGGAAAGACCCCGUGAACCUUUACUGUAGGCUGAUAUUGGUCUUGGACGUGUUCUGUGUAGGAUAGGUGGGAGGCUUUGAAGCAGUGACGCUAGUCAUUGUGGAGCCAACGUUGAAAUACCACCCUGGAUUCGUUUGAGUUCUAACGCUGAUUCCCGUGAAACCGGGCAGCGGACAGUUUCAGUUGGGCAGUUUGACUGGGGCGGUCUCCUCCCAAAGAGUAACGGAGGAGUUCAAAGGUACCCUCAGCCUGGUUGGCAAUCAGGCAUUGAGCGCAAAGGUAGAAGGGUGCUUGACUGCGAGACUCAUAAGUCGAGCAGAUACGAAAGUAGGACUUAGUGAUCCGGUGGUUCUGAAUGGAAGGGCCAUCGCUCAUCAGAUAAAAGGUACUCCGGGGAUAACAGGCUUAUCGCUUCCGAGCGUCCAUAGCGGCGAAGCGGUUUGGCACCUCGAUGUCGGCUCAUCACAUCCUGGGGGUGGAGAAGCUCCCAAGGGUUUGGCUGUUCGCCAAUGAAAGUGGUACGUGAGCUGGGUUCAGACCGUCGUGAGACAGGUCGGUCCCUAUCUGCCGUGGGCGUUCGAAACUUGAGGAGAUUCAUCUUUAGUACGAGAGGAUUUGGAUGGACGAACCUCUGGUGUUCCAGUUGUCGCGCUAGCGGCACGGCUGGAUAGCUAAGUUCGGAAAGGAUAAACGCUGAAAGCAUCUAAGCGUGAAGCCCGCUCCGAGAUAAGGUUUCGUUGGGCUAUGCCCGAAAGUCCCCUGGAAGACGACCAGGUUGAUAGGCUGGNUGUGUAAGCACAGUAAUGUGUUCAGCUAACCAGUACUAAUGGACGAAUGCUUGACCAUAUAU
rnacentral:rRNA from 1 species